rnacentral:rRNA from 1 species
AGCGAACGCUGGCGGCAGGCCUAACACAUGCAAGUCGAACGGAUCCUUCGGGAUUAGUGGCGGACGGGUGAGUAACACGUGGGAACGUGCCCUUUGGUUCGGAACAACUCAGGGAAACUUGAGCUAAUACCGGAUGUGCCCUUCGGGGGAAAGAUUUAUCGCCAUUGGAGCGGCCCGCGUCUGAUUAGCUAGUUGGUGAGGUAACGGCCCACCAAGGCGACGAUCAGCAGCUGGUCUGGGAGGAUGAUCAGCCACACUGGGACUGGGACACGGCCCAGACGCCUACGGGAGGCAGCAGUGGGGAAUGUUGCGCAAUGGGCGAAAGCCGGACGCAGCCAUGCCGCGUGAAUGAUGAAGGUCUUAGGAUCGUAAGAUUCUUUCAGCGGGGACGAUAAUGACGGUACCCGCAUAAGAAGCGCCGGCUAACUUCGUG